rnacentral:rRNA from 1 species
UCUAAGUUUGAUGGCGACCGGCGCACGGGUGAGUAACACGUAUCCAACCUGCCGAUAACUCGGGGAUAGCCUUUCGAAAGAAAGAUUAAUACCCGAUGGCAUAGUUCUUCCGCAUGGUGGAACUAUUAAAGAAUUUCGGUCAUCGAUGGGGAUGCGUUCCAUUAGGUUGUUGGCGGGGUAACGGCCCACCAAGCCUUCGAUGGAUAGGGGUUCUGAGAGGAAGGUCCCCCACAUUGGAACUGAGACACGGUCCAAACUCCUACGGGAGGCAGCAUG